rnacentral:rRNA from 1 species
AUGCACGCUGGCGGCGUGCCUCAUACCUGCAAGUCGAGCGCACAGACGAGGAGCUUGCUCCUCUGACGUUAGCGGCGGACGGGUGAGUAACACGUGGAUAACCUACCUAUAAGACUGGGAUAACUUCGGGAAACCGGAGCUAAUACCGGAUAAUAUAUUGAACCGCAUGGUUCAAUAGUGAAAGACGGUUUUGCUGUCACUUAUAGAUGGAUCCGCGCCGCAUUAGCUAGUUGGUAAGGUAACGGCUUACCAAGGCAACGAUGCGUAGCCGACCUGAGAGGGUGAUCGGCCACACUGGAACUGAGACACGGUCCAGACUCCUACGGGAGGCAGCAGUAGGGAAUCUUCCGCAAUGGGCGAAAGCUUGACGGAGCAACGCCGCGUGAGUGAUGAAGGUCUUCGGAUCGUAAAACUCUGUUAUUAGGGAAGAACAAAUGUGUAAGUAACUAUGCACGUCUUGACGGUACCUAAUCAGAAAGCCACGGCUAACUACGUG